UACGGGGGGGCAAGCGUUGUUCGGAAUUACUGGGCGUAAAGGGCUCGUAGGUGGCCAACUAAGUCAGACGUGAAAUCCCUCGGCUUAACCGGGGAACUGCGUCUGAUACUGGAUGGCUUGAGUUUGGGAGAGGGACGCGGAAUUCCAGGUGUAGCGGUGAAAUGCGUAGAUAUCUGGAGGAACACCGGUGGCGAAGGCGGCGUCCUGGACCGGCAUUGACGCUGAUGAGCGAAAGCCAGGGGAGCAAACGGG
rnacentral:rRNA from 1 species